rnacentral:rRNA from 1 species
UACGUAGGGGCAAGCGUUGUCCGGAAUCAUUGGGCGUAAAGCGCGCGUAGGCGGCCCGGUAAGUCCGCUCUGAAAGUCCAGGGCUCAACCCUGGAAAGCGGGUGGAUACUGCCGGGCUAGAAUCCGGAAGAGGCGAGUGGAAUUCCUGGUGUAGCGGUGGAAUGCGCAGAUAUCAAGGAGGAACACCAAUAGCGAAGGCAGCUCGCUGGGACGGUAUUGACGCUAAGGCGCGAAAGCGUGGGAGCAAACAGG